GACGAACGCUGGCGGCGUGCCUAAUACAUGCAAGUCGAACGGUCUUUUCUAUGGAAGCUUGCUUCCACUGAGAAGAUAGUGGCGAACGGGUGAGUAACACGUGGGUAACCUGCCCAUAAGAGGGGGAUAACAUCCGGAAACGGGCGCUAAUACCGCAUAGUUUUCUUGAUCGCAUGAUUGAGAAAGGAAAGACGGCCUUUGUGCUGUCGCUUCUGGAUGGACCCGCGGCGUAUUAGUUAGUUGGUGAGGUAACGGCUCACCAAGACGAUGAUACGUAGCCGACCUGAGAGGGUGAUCGGCCACAUUGGGACUGAGACACGGCCCAAACUCCUACGGGAGGCAGCAGUAGGGAAUCUUCCGCAAUGGACGAAAGUCUGACGGAGCAACGCCGCGUGAGUGAAGAAGGUUUUCGGAUCGUAAGACUCUGUUGUCAGAGAAGAACAAGUUGGAGAGUAACUGCUCCAGCCUUGACGGUAUCUGACCAGAAAGCCACGGCUAACUACGUGCCAGCCGCCGCCGUAAGAC
rnacentral:rRNA from 1 species